rnacentral:rRNA from 1 species
UACGUAGGGUGCGAGCGUUAAUCGGAAUUACUGGGCGUAAAGAGCGUGUAGGCGGCCGGACAGGUCCGCUGUGAAAACUCGAGGCUCAACCUCGAGAUGUCGGUGGAAACCGUCUGGCUAGAGUCCGGAAGAGGAGAGUGGAAUUCCUGGUGUAGCGGUGAAAUGCGCAGAUAUCAGGAAGAACACCCGUGGCGAAGGCGGCUCUCUGGGACGGUACUGACGCUGAGACGCGAAAGCGUGGGGAGCGAACAGG